rnacentral:rRNA from 2 species
AUUGCGACCUCAGCUCAGGCGGGGCUACC